rnacentral:rRNA from 1 species
UACAGAGGGGGCAAGCGUUGUUCGGAAUUACUGGGCGUAAAGGGCGCGUAGGCGGCCCGCUAAGUCGAACGUGAAAUCCCCGAGCUCAACUCGGGAACUGCGUCCGAUACUGGCGGGCUUGAAUCCGGGAGAGGGAUGCGGAAUUCCAGGUGUAGCGGUGAAAUGCGUAGAUAUCUGGAGGAACACCGGUGGCGAAGGCGACUACCUGGCCCAUUCUUGACGCUGAGGCGCGAAAGCUAGGGGAGCGAACGGG